rnacentral:rRNA from 1 species
UACGGAGGGUGCGAGCGUUGUUCGGAAUUACUGGGCGUAAAGGGCGCGCAGGCGGCCCUCCAAGUCAGGCGUGAAAGCCCCGGGCUCAACCCGGGAAUAGCGCUUGAGACUGGGGGGCUUGAGUUCGGGAGAGGAGAGUGGAAUUCCCAGUGUAGAGGUGAAAUUCGUAGAUAUUGGGAAGAACACCGGUGGCGAAGGCGGCUCUCUGGACCGACACUGACGCUGAGGCGCGAAAGCGUGGGGAGCAAACAGG